AACAGGAUUAGAUACCCUGGUAGUCCACGCCGUAAACGAUGUCGACUUGGAGGUUGUGCCCUUGAGGCGUGGCUUCCGGAGCUAACGCGUUAAGUCGACCGCCUGGGGAGUACGGCCGCAAGGUUAAAACUCAAAUGAAUUGACGGGGGCCCGCACAAGCGGUGGAGCAUGUGGUUUAAUUCGAUGCAACGCGAAGAACCUUACCUACUCUUGACAUCCAGAGAACUUUCCAGAGAUGGAUUGGUGCCUUCGGGAACUCUGAGACAGGUGCUGCAUGGCUGUCGUCAGCUCGUGUUGUGAAAUGUUGGGUUAAGUCCCGCAACGAGCGCAACCCUUAUCCUUUGUUGCCAGCGGUCCGGCCGGGAACUCAAAGGAGACUGCCAGUGAUAAACUGGAGGAAGGUGGGGAUGACGUCAAGUCAUCAUGGCCCUUACGAGUAGGGCUACACACGUGCUACAAUGGCGCAUACAAAGAGAAGCGACCUCGCGAGAGCAAGCGGACCUCAUAAAGUGCGUCGCAGUCCGGAUUGGAGUCUGCAACUCGACUCCAUGAAGUCGGAAUCGCUAGUAAUCGUGGAUCAGAAUGCCACGGUGAAUACGUUCCCGGGCCUUGCACACACCGCCCGUCACACCAUGGGAGUGGGUUGCAAAAGAAGUAGGUAGCUUAACCUUCGGGAGGGCGCUUACCACUUUGUGAUUCAUGACUGGGGUGAAGUCGUAACAAGGUAACC
rnacentral:rRNA from 1 species